UACGUAGGGUGCGAGCGUUAAUCGGAAUUACUGGGCAUAAAGCGUGCGCAGGCGGCUUCGCAAGUCAGGCGUGAAAUCCCCGGGCUUAACCUGGGAAUGGCGUCUGAAACUACGGAGCUGGAGUGUGGCAGAGGGAGGUAGAAUUCCACGUGUAGCGGUGAAAUGCGUAGAUAUGUGGAGGAAUACCGAUGGCGAAGGCAGCCUCCUGGGCCAACACUGACGCUCAUGCACGAAAGCGUGGGGAGCAAACAGG
rnacentral:rRNA from 1 species